rnacentral:rRNA from 1 species
UACGGAGGGUGCAAGCGUUAUCCGGAAUUAUUGGGCGUAAAGCGUCCGCAGGUGGCCGUUCAAGUCUGCUGUCAAAGACCGGGGCUUAACUUCGGAAAGGCAGUGGAAACUGAACAGCUAGAGUAUGGUAGGGGCAGAGGGAAUUCCUGGUGUAGCGGUGAAAUGCGUAGAUAUCAGGAAGAACAUCGGUGGCGAAGGCGCUCUGCUGGACCAUAACUGACACUCAGGGACGAAAGCUAGGGGAGCGAAUGGG